rnacentral:rRNA from 1 species
UACGUAGGGACCAAGCGUUGUUCGGAUUUACUGGGCGUAAAGGGCGCGUAGGCGGCGUGUUAAGUCACUUGUGAAAUCUCUAAGCUUAACUUAGAACGGUCAAGUGAUACUGAUGUGCUAGAGUGCAGAAGGGGCAACCGGAAUUCUUGGUGUAGCGGUGAAAUGCGCAGAUAUCGGGAGGAACACCAAUGGCGAAGGCAGCUUGCUGGGACGGUACUGACGCUGAGGCGCGAAAGCGUGGGGAGCGAACAGG